UACGAAGGGGGCUAGCGUUGCUCGGAAUCACUGGGCGUAAAGCGCACGUAGGCGGCUUUUUAAGUCAGGGGUGAAAUCCUGGAGCUCAACUCCAGAACUGCCUUUGAUACUGAGAAGCUUGAGUCCGGAAGAGGAGAGUGGAAUUCCCGGUGUAGCGGUGAAAUGCGCAGAUAAUCGGGAAGAACACCCGUGGCGAAGGCGGCUCUCUGGGACGGUACUGACGCUGAGACGCGAAAGCGUGGGGAGCAAACAGG
rnacentral:rRNA from 1 species